GUUACGGUGGCGGGCUCCCCGCGCGCGUCUCACCAGGCGCUGGGGCGGCGGGGAGCCAAGGGAGAGCCCUCCGCCACCUCCGCCCAGCCCAGCCCUAGAGCCCGCCGCCGCGCCGCGAAGGAUGCCCGGGUCACCUGAGCCACCGCGUCCUCAGCACGGCCGAGCGGGAGAUAGGACAGAAGAGUUAUACUGCUGACCGGUGAUCUGAAAUUCUCAAGCCCAUGCUCUUCCAGCCUAGUGGAACUACAUCACAUCAUUGUUGGGAAACUUCUAUGAAGCUAAAAGGUUAUUUUGCCCCUUAUGAAGAGAGAUGUAUUCCUGUUUAUCUAACCAUGAUCCAAGGGGUGCUAUUCCCUAACAGAUGAGAGUAGGAAUGGCAGAAGAGAACAAUCUAAAAAAGGCUGCCUAAUGGCUAGCACACCAGCCUCUCAAGGCCACCAGGCUACUCGGAGCAGCCCAAGCACUUCUGUUCUCACCAGCUGAGUUGUUUACUUGCCAAGAGUCACCUGUGUUUAUCCUCAAAUUUGUUUAUGACAGUUUGAUUGUUAAUGUAAUAAUCUAAUGUAAUUAUAUGCCACCUAAACCAAUAAAAAGAGUACAAGAUGAAUGGUCACCUCUUUGAAAAUCCAGUUAAAUUCUUGAGAAAGAUUAAAAAGCUAGUUAACAAGUGAAAGUUGCUAGGAAAGUAGAUCUUAAAAGUUCUCAUCACAAGGAAAAAAAAAUGUAACAAUGUGUGGUGAUGGACGAUAACUAAACUGACACUGAUAACCAUUUUACAGUAUAUACAUAUAUCAAAUCAUUGUUGUGUACCUUAAACUUAUACAAUGUUAUAUGUCAAUUAUAUCUCAAUAAAAAUGGAAAAAAAUGAAACAAAGAUUGAAAAAGGUAGUCACAAACCACUGCCCUCUAUUUAGGUGGAUCCUACAUAUGAAAGAUUGGGAAAAUCUAGAAUGACUCUGC